CCCUAGCCCUGAUGGGAGGGAAAAUCCUUUUGUGCCGGGGUUCGGCACAAAAGAUUGGAAGGACAGCAGGAAACAGC
rnacentral:sRNA from 1 species